AGGGAAUCUUCCGCAAUGGACGAAACUCUGAUGCAGCAACGCCGCGUGAGUGAUGAAGGUCUUCGGAUUGUAAAGCUCUGUCUUCUGGGACGAUAAUGACGGUACCAGAGGAGGAAGCCACGGCUAACUACGUGCCAGCAGCCGCGGUAAUACGUAGGUGGCAAGCGUUGUCCGGAUUUACUGGGCGUAAAGGAUGUGUAGGCGGAUAUUUAAGUGAGAUGUGAAAUCCCCGGGCUUAACUUGGGGGCUGCAUUUCAAACUGGAUGUCUAGAGUGCAGGAGAGGAAAGCAGAAUUCCUAGUGUAGCGGUGAAAUGCGUAGAGAUUAGGAAGAAUACCAGUGGCGAAGGCAGCUUUCUGGACUGUAACUGACGCUGAGGCAUGAAAGCGUGGGGAGCAAAC
rnacentral:rRNA from 1 species